rnacentral:rRNA from 1 species
AUUGAACGCUGGCGGCAGGCUUAACACAUGCAAGUCGAACGCGUGGCGGACGGGUGAGUAAUGCUUGGGAAUCUAGCUGAUGGAGGGGGAUAAAUACGGGAAACUGUAGCUAAUACCGCGUACCAUAGGAUGAGCCCAAGUGGGAUUAGGUAGUUGGUGAGGUAAAGGCUCACCAAGCCGACGAUCUCUAGCUGGUCUGAGAGGAUGACCAGCCCCACUGGUACUGAGACACGGCCCUGACGCCUACGGGAGGCAGCAGUGGGUAAUAUUGCGCAAUGGGGGCAACCUGACGCAGCCAUGCCGCGUGAAUUAAGAGGGCCUUCGGGUUGUAAAGUUCUUUCGGUAGCGAGGCGUUAACUACAGAAGAAGCACCGGCUAACUCCGUGCCAGCAGCCGCGGUAAUAC